CGGGAUGAGCUCAAAUUUAAAAUCUGGCGUCUUUCAGGCGUCCGAGUUGUAAUCUAUAGAGGCGUUUUCCGCGCCGGACCGCGUCCAAGUCUCUUGGAAUAGAGUAUCAAAGAGGGUGACAAUCCCGUACUUGACGCGACAACCGGUGCUCUGUGAUACGUUCUCAAUGAGUCGAGUUGUUUGGGAAUGCAGCUCUAAAUGGGUGGUAAAUUCCAUCUAAGGCUAAAUAUUGGCGAGAGACCGAUAGCGAACAAGUACCGUGAGGGAAAGAUGAAAAGCACUUUGGAAAGAGAGUUAAACAGCACGUGAAAUUGUUAAAAGGGAAACGAUUGAAGUCAGUCGUGUGAAAGGUAUUCAGCCGUCUCUGGCGGUGUAUUUGCCUUUCACGGGUCAACAUCAGUUUGAUCCGGUAGAAAAAGGCGGGAGGAAGGUGGCACCCUCGGGUGUGUUAUAGCC
rnacentral:rRNA from 1 species